UGGAUAUUCGUAGAGACAAGAAAAUAAACCCGCUUGUCCGGUGUCUGCUGGGCGUGUAGCAGCAGUAACCACCCGCGGGGGCAGCGGCAGCGCAGCUCGCUCCCCGCGUGGUGCCAGCCACCCUGCCGGGCAUCCGGCCCCUGCGAGGUUUUCUCUCUGCGCCGCCGUUGGCCAGCGGGCCCGGCCAGACCUCGUGCAUCACCGCGACGAGUCCGAGGCUUCCAGGAGCUCUUGGAAACCUCCUUCUUCUUGACGAGAAGCAGAGACUUCCAAGGAUUCACGGAUUUCCGGGUGGCAGGACUUGUGGUAAAACAGCAAAUGUCACCAGAUGUGCAGUGACACUGCAAGAGGUGAUUACUUCGUUCACACCAAUGUCAAAUUUUGAUUAACAAGAUCCAAAUGCAUUUCUAUUAACGAGUCUCUUUCAAAAUACUUUCUAUGCUUUGUAAAUGUUGCCCAGGUAGGUUGCUGACCCUACAAACACUGGAUUGUAACAAGUUCUGUGCAUAAAGUGUAUCCAUUAUUCCUA